GACGAACGCUGGCGGCGUGCUUAACACAUGCAAGUCGAACGGAAAGGCCCUGCUUUUGUGGGGUGCUCGAGUGGCGAACGGGUGAGUAACACGUGAGUAACCUGCCCUUGACUUUGGGAUAACUUCAGGAAACUGGGGCUAAUACCGGAUAGGAGCUCCUGCUGCAUGGGGGGGGUUGGAAAGUUUCGGCGGUUGGGGAUGGACUCGCGGCUUAUCAGCUUGUUGGUGGGGUAGUGGCUUACCAAGGCUUUGACGGGUAGCCGGCCUGAGAGGGUGACCGGCCACAUUGGGACUGAGAUACGGGCCAGACUCCUACGGGAGGCAGCAGUGGGGAAUAUUGCACAAUGGGCGGAAGCCUGAUGCAGCAACGCCGCGUGCGGGAUGACGGCCUUCGGGUUGUAAACCGCUUUCGCCUGUGACGAAGCGUGAGUGACGGUAAUGGGUAAAGAAGCACCGGCUAACUACGUG
rnacentral:rRNA from 1 species